rnacentral:rRNA from 1 species
GGGAGGAAUAUUGGACAAUGGGGGCAACCCUGAUCCAGCGACGCCGCGUGGGCGAUGAAGGCCUUCGGGUCGUAAAGCCCUUUUCUGAGGGAAGAGAACGGACGGUACCUCAGGAAUAAGUCUCGGCUAACUACGUGCCAGCAGCCGCGGUAAAACGUAGGAGGCGAGCGUUAUCCGGAUUUACUGGGCGUAAAGCGCGUGCAGGCGGUUGUGCAAGUUGGGCGUGAAAUCUCCCGGCUCAACUGGGAGGCGCCGUUCAAUACUGCAUGACUUGAGGGCAGGAGAGGGAAGCGGAAUUCCCGGUGUAGCGGUAAUAUGCGCAGAUAUCGGGAGGAACACCAGUGGCGAAGGCGGCUUCCUGGCCUGUUCCUGACGCUGAUACGCGAAAGCUAGGGGAGCGAACGGGAUUAGAAACCCCGGUAGUCC